AACGAACGCUGGCGGCAUGCCUAACACAUGCAAGUCGAACGAGACCUUCGGGUCUAGUGGCGCACGGGUGCGUAACGCGUGGGAACCUGCCCUUAGGUUCGGAAUAACUCCCCGAAAGGGGUGCUAAUACCGGAUAAUGUCUUCGGACCAAAGAUUUAUCGCCUUUGGAUGGGCCUGCGUUGGAUUAGCUAGUUGGUAGGGUAAAAGCCUACCAAGGCGACGAUCCAUAGCUGGUCUGAGAGGAUGAUCAGCCACACUGGGACUAAGACACGGCCCAGACUCCUACGGGAGGCAGCAGUGGGGAAUAUUGGACAAUGGGCGAAAGCCUGAUCCAGCAAUGCCGCGUGAGUGAUGAAGGCCUUAGGGUUGUAAAGCUCUUUUACCCGGGAUGAUAAUGACAGUACCGGGAGAAUAAGCUCCGGCUAACUCCGUG
rnacentral:rRNA from 1 species